rnacentral:rRNA from 1 species
AGCGAACGCUGGCGGCAUGCCUAACACAUGCAAGUCGAACGAAGGCUUCGGCCUUAGUGGCGCACGGGUGCGUAACGCGUGGGAAUCUGCCCUUUGGUUCGGAAUAACAGCUGGAAACGGCUGCUAAUACCGGAUGAUGACGAAAGUCCAAAGAUUUAUCGCCAGAGGAUGAGCCCGCGUUGGUUUAGGUAGUUGGUGGGGUAAAGGCCUACCAAGCCGACGAUCCAUAGCUGGUCUGAGAGGAUGAUCAGCCACACUGGGACCGAGACACGGCCCAGACUCCUACGGGAGGCAGCAGUGGGGAAUAUUGGACAAUGGGCGCAAGCCUGAUCCAGCAAUGCCGCGUGAGUGAUGAAGGCCCUAGGGUUGUAAAGCUCUUUUACCCGGGAAGAUAAUGACUGUACCGGGAGAAUAAGCCCCGGCUAACUCCGUG